rnacentral:rRNA from 1 species
UACCAGCACCCCGAGUGGUCGGGACGUUUAUUGGGCCUAAAGCAUCCGUAGCCGGUUCUACAAGUCUUCCGUUAAAUCCACCUGCUUAACAGAUGGGCUGCGGAAGAUACUAUGGAGCUAGGAGGCGGGAGAGGCAAGCGGUACUCGAUGGGUAGGGGUAAAAUCCGUUGAUCCAUUGAAGACCACCAGUGGCGAAAGCGGCUCUCUGGAACGGUACUGACGCUGAGACGCGAAAGCGUGGGGAGCGAACAGG